GAAAUGCGAUAAGUAAUGUGAAUUGCAGAAUUCCGUGAAUCAUCGAAUCUUUGAACGCACAUUGCGCCCUCUGGUAUUCCGGGGGGCAUGCCUGUCCGAGCGUCAUUGCGAACCCCUCAAGCACGGCUUGUGUGAUGGGCCCUCCCGCGUCUUGGUCGUCAAGACGGGCCCGAAAUGCAGUGGCGGCUUCCCGGUUAUCCGAUCAGCCAGAGCGUAUGGGGACUUUCUCUCUGUCACACGCCCGCGGCGCGGACCGACGCCUGUCGACCUUUAUUCAUCUUUUUCUCGGUUGACCUCGGAUCAGGUAGGGAUACCCGCUGAACUUAAGC
rnacentral:misc_RNA from 1 species